UACGCGGGGUGCAAGCGUUGCUCGGAAUUAUUGGGCGUAAAGGGUAGGUAGGUGGUCUCAUUUGUCUGAGGUGAAAGCCUUGAGCUUAACUCAAGAAGUGCCUUAGAAACGGUGAGACUGGAGUCCUGGAGAGGGUCGUGGAAUUCCCGGUGUAGCGGUGAAAUGCGUAGAGAUCGGGAGGAACACCAGCGGCGAAGGCGGCGACCUGGACAGGUACUGACACUCAACUACGAAAGCGUGGGUAGCAAACAGA
rnacentral:rRNA from 1 species